rnacentral:rRNA from 1 species
UACGUAGGGUGCAAGCGUUAUCCGGAAUUAUUGGGCGUAAAGAGCUCGUAGGCGGUUUGUCGCGUCUGCUGUGAAAACUGGGGGCUCAACCCCCAGCCUGCAGUGGGUACGGGCAGACUAGAGUGCGGUAGGGGAGAUUGGAAUUCCUGGUGUAGCGGUGGAAUGCGCAGAUAUCAGGAGGAACACCGAUGCGAAGGCAGAUCUCUGGGCCGGUACUGGACGCUGAGGAGCGAAAGCGUGGGGAGCAAACAGG